AUUGAACGCUGGCGGCAGGCCUAACACAUGCAAGUCGAACGGUAACAGGAAGCAGCUUGCUGCUUCGCUGACGAGUGGCGGACGGGUGAGUAAUGUCUGGGAAACUGCCUGAUGGAGGGGGAUAACUACUGGAAACGGUAGCUAAUACCGCAUAAUGUCGCAAGACCAAAGAGGGGGACCUUCGGGCCUCUUGCCAUCGGAUGUGCCCAGAUGGGGUUAGCUUGUUGGUGGGGUAACGGCACACCAAGGCGACGAUCCCUAGCUGGUCUGAGAGGAUGACCAGCCACACUGGAACUGAGACACGGUCCAGACUCCUACGGGAGGCAGCAGUGGGGAAUAUUGCACAAUGGGCGCAAGCCUGAUGCAGCCAUGCCGCGUGUAUGAAGAAGGCCUUCGGGUUGUAAAGUACUUUCAGCGGGGAGGAAGGGAGUAAAGUUAAUACCUUUGCUCAUUGACGUUACCCGCAGAAGAAGCACCGGCUAACUCCGUGCCAGCAGCCGCCGUAA
rnacentral:rRNA from 1 species